rnacentral:rRNA from 1 species
AUUGAACGCUGGCGGCAUGCCUUACACAUGCAAGUCGAACGGCAGCACGGGUGCUUGCACCUGGUGGCGAGUGGCGAACGGGUGAGUAAUACAUCGGAACAUGUCCUGUAGUGGGGGAUAGCCCGGCGAAAGCCGGAUUAAUACCGCAUACGAUCUACGGAUGAAAGCGGGGGACCUUCGGGCCUCGCGCUAUAGGGUUGGCCGAUGGCUGAUUAGCUAGUUGGUGGGGUAAAGGCCUACCAAGGCGACGAUCAGUAGAUGGUCUGAGAGGACGACCAGCCACACUGGGACUGAGACACGGCCCAGACUCCUACGGGAGGCAGCAGUGGGGAAUUUUGGACAAUGGGCGAAAGCCUGAUCCAGCAAUGCCGCGUGUGUGAAGAAGGCCUUCGGGUUGUAGAGCACUUUUGUCCGGAAAGAAAUCCUUGGCUCUAAUACAGUCGAGGGAUGACGGUACCGGAAGAAUAAGCACCGGCUAACUACGUG